AGAGUUUGAUUAUGGCUCAGGAUGAACGCUGGCGGCGUGCUUAACACAUGCAAGUCGAACGGAGAGAUACGCCGAUUGAAGCUUCGGCAGAAAUCAUGUAUCUCUUAGUGGCGGACGGGUGAGUAACGCGUGGGUAACCUGCCUUAUACCGGGGGAUAACACUUAGAAAUAGGUGCUAAUACCGCAUAAGCGCACGACACCGCAUGGUGAUGUGUGAAAAACUCCGGUGGUAUAAGAUGGACCCGCGUCUGAUUAGUUAGUUGGUGAGGUAACGGCCCACCAAGACGACGAUCAGUAGCCGGCCUGAGAGGGUGAACGGCCACAUUGGGACUGAGACACGGCCCAAACUCCUACGGGAGGCAGCAGUGGGGAAUAUUGGACAAUGGGGGAAACCCUGAUCCAAGCGACGCCGCGUGAGUGAAGAAGUAUUUCGGUAUGUAAAGCUCUAUCAGCAGGGAAGAUAAUGACGGUACCUGACUAAGAAGCCCCGGCUAACUACGUGCCAGCCGCCGC
rnacentral:rRNA from 1 species